AUCGCUUCUCGGCCUUUUGGCUAAGAUCAAGUGUAGUAUCUGUUCUUAUCAGUUUAAUAAAAAUUAGAAAUGCAUUUGUAUACAGGAGAGUCUGGGAGGGAGACAGGCAGUUUUACAGCUCAGUAAAAGUGUCUUUGCAAGUCAAAACGUUUUUCAAUCUUUGUGGAGUUAAAUUAAAGAACUCCCA